rnacentral:siRNA from 1 species
UUGAUACUCGUUUCCCGUGUCU